rnacentral:lncRNA from 1 species
UUUUUUUUUUUUUUUCUUUUUUUGGCCGCGCCUGCGGCAUGCAGAAGUUCCGGGGCCAGGGAUUGAACCAGACAGCAACCUGGGCCACAGUAGUAACAAUACCAGAUCCCCAACCCACUGAAAGCCACCAAGGAACUCCUGGAAAUACUCAUUUUAUUUAUUUAUCUUUUCUUUUUAUUCUUUUUUAGAGAUACUCAUUUUAAUGAGUAAUUGAGCAUCUUUUCACAUCUUUAAGGACCCAUGGAAAUUUGCCCUUUUCCAUUGAAUGUUUCUUCAGAUCCUUUGCCCAUUUUUCUGUGUUUGAGUCCUUGGUGGUUCAUUUUAAAAAGAUUUAUGGGAGCUCUUUACAUCUUAAAGAAAUCAGCCCUUUGCCCUAUGUUACAAGUUUCAGUUUUCCCCCUAGUUUAAAGUUUUUCUUUCGCGUUUGCUUGCGGUGGCUUUUUGCAAGGCAGAAAUUUUAAUUAUUUUUAUGUAGUCAAAUUUGUCAAACUUUUCUUUUGAGGCUUCAGGUUUUGUAUAUUUAUAAAGUUCUUCCCUAUUCUGGGAUUUUUGGGGAAAAAAAUCCUCCCAUGGUUUCAUUCAGUAGUCAUAAAACAGGAUUUGUUUUUCACAGUAGGAUGGGAUUUCAUAUUUCAUUUCAAAUAUGGCCAGACCAUAAUUUACUCAACCAAUCACCUACAGCUGAAUAUUUGGGUUAUUUCUGAUUUUUCCUGAAUUAUAAAUAUCACUGCAGGAGUUCCCGUCAUCGUGGUGCCUCAGAAUCGAAUCCGACUAGGAACCAUGAGGUUGCAGGUUUGAUCCCUGGCCUCGAGCAGUAGGUUAAGGAUCCUCGUUUCCAUGAGCUGUGGUGUAGGUCACAGACGCGGCUUGGAUCUGGUGUUGCUGUGGCUGUGGUGUAUGCCGGCAGCUGUAGCUCCGAUUCGACCCCUAGUCUGGGAACCUCCAUAUGCCACAGGUGCGGCCCUAAAAAGCAAAACAAUCAAACGAAAAAAACUCACUGCAGUAAAAGCUUUAUCCAUAAAUGUUCUACUUCGUUAGGCUAAAUUCUGAAAGUUACCUUCACUUCUAUCCCCAAACUGCCCUCCAGAAGAUCCAGCUACCCUUCGGCCACAGGGAUAUGUGUACUACUUUCCAAGUGCCCUCAGAGCCUAAGGUGGACAGGCAGGAACCCAGGAUUCAGAUUGUCUCCUGGCCUUGCUGAGCCUUUGUAUGGCUUGUCCGCCAUAGAGAGAAUUAUGGCAAAUAGGCUGGAGGAGGGGUCUAGGCAUCUUGAGAUCGGAGGGAGAGAAGGAAGCCCCAAAGAAGCUGCUGGGAUCUCGCUCAGAGCCAACUUAUUCACCUUACACACAAUUCUAUAUUCCAGUAAACUUGUGACCUGGCUUUUAAGAGCACAGCAACGAAUUAGGAAGAAUAGGAAGGAGAAGCAAGGCUGCUUCUUAGAGGCACCCUGGCCCAUGGUGCUGUUUCCAGAAGAGCAAGCACAAGUCAGACAACAAGCAACCACCCACAGACCAGUGCUAAACUGUCCCACAGACCCCAGGAAUGGAUGAGGAAGAGUCAAUUAGAUUGGGUGAUCUCAAUUUGCUUCUAAACCUGAGAUUCUGGAAGGUAUCUUGAACAAUGUGGGGGGUAGAAUAAUGCCCCCUCCUCAAAGAAGUUCUUGUCCUAAUCCCUAGAUUCUGUAAAUACGCUUUGCUAUGUGGCAAAGAGGUAUUAAAGUUGCAGAUGGAAAUAAUUGCUAAUCAGCUGGCCUUAAAAUAAGGAGAUUGG